UGCCAAAUUCCUUCUUCACUUCACUCACGCUGCUCUUCUGGUUCAGUUCACUUCUCGUCGUCCUCCGCUUCGGCUGACCUCUCCUCCACUCCCACCACCACUUAUCGACAGACUUAUCUUCCUCCCUUCCCCCCUCACCACCACUAUUUCCCCCCUCAACAACCGACUCCAAUGUCACGACAAGUGAGAGGAGGAGGAGGAGGAGGCGGAGAUGAUGGACGGGCGGAUCGAGAAAAUCAGCCUCAGCGACUCCAAAUGAAACAGUUGCCGCAAAAAGGAUCAGCUCAACCGCAGCCACCCCGUUAUCCUGGCUCUGGCCCCUCAACAGUUGUACGGGCUGGGGGUGGUGGUGGUCAAGCUGCAGCAGCAGCCGGAGCGGCAGCCGCGGCCGCACCACCGCCACCAUCAAACCCCACGUCCCAGUCGACGCAAGAAAUCCCCACGGUUAUCCGGGACGUCAGCACGGGCAAUGCCUACGCCAGGGGGAAACUGCUGGGAAAGGGUGGUUUUGCGAGGUGUUUCGAAGUACAGCAGUCUAAGACGAGGCAAGUGGUGGCGUGCAAAAUUGUCAAUAAAGAACUCUUGAUCAAACCUCACCAGCGAGACAAGAUGAUCCAGGAAAUUACUAUCCAUCGAAAACUCAGGCACGAGUUCAUUGUCAAGUUCCUCUCCCAUUUUGAGGAUGAUUCUAACGUUUACAUAACUCUGGAGCUUUGUAGUAAGAAGAGUCUGAUGGAACUCCAGAAACGGAGGAGGAUCCUUACUGAACCGGAGGCGAAAUACUUUUUGCGUCAGAUUGCCGUAGCCGUCCAAUACUUGCAUGAAGACAUGCACAUCAUUCAUCGAGAUCUCAAGCUGGGUAAUAUCUUCAUUUCAGAAGAUAUGAAAUUGAAAAUUGGCGAUUUUGGUCUUGCGACCACAGUGGACUUUGAGGGGGAAAGGAAAAAGACGCUUUGCGGUACGCCAAACUACAUUGCACCCGAAGUUUUGGGUAAAAAGGGGCACAGCUAUCAAGUGGACAUUUGGUCAAUUGGGUGUAUUCUGUACACCUUGCUCAUUGGACGACCUCCCUUUGAAACUGCCACACUGCGCGACACCUACCAAAAGAUUCGUCGUGGGGAGUACAUCUUUCCACAAAAUGUGAAGAUCGGUCACCCCGCGAAGAACCUAUUGCACAAAAUGCUCCAAGUAAAUCCGGACCUUCGCCCAUCUGCUAGGCAAAUCAUUUCAAAUGAAUUCAUUCUUUGUGGAUUUAUGCCCACCGUUCUGCCACUUUCCGUCCUGACCAUGGCGCCACGUUUUGAUUUCCCAAAAACUGCCCAGCCCAGUUCCACCGCUCCAGCGGCUGCUGGGGCCGCGCCGCCUGAUACGCUUGCACCAACCGGCCAACCGAAGAAGCCACUCACGGAGAGCAAUCAACCUCGGACCGGAAGUGAUGGCGACGCACCACUACCACCCACUCAGCCUUCUGUCCCUCGUACCAUUAUUGGUCAAACGAAUUUGAUUCCUCGCGUGGGGACCCCGGUCGAAAAUGCCAACAAUAAUAUUGUUUCUGCCGGAGAACUUGACAACAUGGACAUGGUGGAGUACAUGAAGAAUUUGAGGGAUCAGUUGAAGCGAAUUAUUGAACUUGAACCUCGCACCACGCUGGAUGAUAACGAGGCCGAAGAACCAGCUCUCUCUCCGUUCCUCUGGAUUUGCAAGUGGGUCGACUACUCGGACAAGUACGGAUUCGGGUACAACUUGUGCGAUGACACGGUCGGUGUAAGCUUUAAUGAUAACUCAAAAAUUAUCCUGCUCUCGGAUGCGCGCAGUAUGCAUUACAUUGAGAAAGAGGGAGUCGAAUCAUACUACUCACUUGAUCAGUAUCCCAACGACCUUUCCAAGAAGGUCAAACUGCUCAAGUACUUUCAACAGUAUAUGAAGGACAAUUUGAUGAAAGCCACCGGAGAUCACAAACCUCUCCCGCCCAACUGCAUCGCCCGCGUCCCCAACAUGUGGACAUGGUUCCGCACUUCACGCUCCGUCGUCAUGGUUCUUUCUAGCGGCACCAUACAAAUCAACAAUUUCCGCGAUCACACCAAGAUGAUUUUGUGCCCUAUGCUCGGCGCCAUCACCACUCUAGGUCCCUCGAAACACAUGCGCACCUACAAAAUCGCCAGUAUGGACAAGGGCCUCUCGAGCGCUAUGUUGGAACGGCUUACGUACGCCUUGGAGAAGGUAAUUGUCAUCAUUUCGCGCGGUAUAGAGAAAAUCGAGCUGCAACAGCAAGAAAUUUGUAAUAAUCUUGACGCUAAACCUGUUACUGGGGACGAAUUGAAUCGUCCCAACCCUAAUUAAUUUAUUACCUAUGUAAUUUCAACCAAAACGUUCGCGCGCGCGCUGCCGCCGCCGCUGCACACAAAAACAAUCAUUUAUAGACUCAUCCAAAUGCGCUGCUGCCGCUGCCGCUGUCGCUUCUGCUGCAAUUAUUUAUAAGUCGUACCACAUUAUACUAUUGUAUUUAUUUACUAAUUACUUUAAUUAUUUAUUACUUAUUUAUCCUCCUACUCGGCCUAACAGUAAGAGGUGGCCCUAAACCGACUGAGAUUUGACUAGCCUAUCAUUAUAAUUACCAUAAUUAUUAUUAUUAUUAUUAUUAUUAUCAUUUCUUCUCUUCACAUCUCGCCAGUUGGAAAUGAUCUUCUUUCUCCAUAAGGAAGUAUUUCCACAAAUUGAGCGAACCGUUACCCCCAAGGCCCAACAACAAGAAUCUUCUCCCAUUUUGGAUAUGAAUCUAUUGACCUUGCUACGCAGAAGGUUGAGGUUAUCAUCGGCAACCAUAUGAAAAACAACAGCUUCAUCAACAACGUAAUGGAAUCGCCCGCAAAAUUAUCCGUGAAAAAGAAGCAGUGUCACUAAUUGGUGUUCAGUAAUAUUUAUUUUUUCUAAAUUAAUCGCUGCGUCGAUUUCAAAAGUCAUGUGUAAUCCAAUCGGCAUUUUAUAUGUUUCUAUACAAAACGAUGUUGUUAAUUGUCUAUCCAAUCCAAAAUUUAUCGUCGAUUUCAAAGUCAUAGGAACUUUUAUAUCAUGUUUUUUAUCCUUGUACACAAAAGUAUUUUGUUAACUAUGUCUCCAACCCAAAAUUUAUUAUGGUACUUUAAAAAAUCCAUUAUAUUAAUCUGUCUAAAGGACAAAAUUGGUAUAUUAAAAUGUCUCUGGAGAAUUGUGUUUGGAUGUCGAUUUAAUUUAUAGUACUGAUGACGAGAAGGUGGGGUCUGAAUAGUUUUAAAUAUAACUUAACCUAAUUUUAAUGAUUAAUGAUAUUACUAUUAUUUACCGAUAAGCUUACUUUUAUACUGAAUAUGUUAUCUUAAAGGGUCAGUUUAUCCAUCGAUAUGCCCAUAGUUAACUAUUGUUCGUUCAAAAAAAUAGAGACACAGAAAAUCUGUCUAGUUAUCUGGCAGAAUUUCUUUAAAAAAAUAAUAAUUUAGAAAAAUAUAAGUACUUUCUCUCUAUUUUUUUGAACGAACCGUAGUCGUGGGUUUUAUACCGAUAGAUAAGCCGACUUCUUGAUAAGCAACAACCCUUUUUUAAAAAUAAUGUGGUAUGCAAAAGACGCGCAGUGAGAAAUAAACCAAUUUUAUAAUUUUGGAAGAUAUACACAAUCCACA